ensembl:lncRNA
UCUCACUCCUCAAGCGCUGCUCUGUGAAUCUGAGCUCUGAUUGGCUGUCUCUUGGUUACAAGCCACGAAUCAGUCUGAUUGGCUGAAAGUUUUCCACGCAUCUCUUUCAUUCAUGUCAGUGCAGGCUCGCAGCAGCGCGCCUGGAUGAGAGAGAGAAUGAUUGAGUCGCUCUGCCAAACCCACUGACUUACAAUCAGAGAGAAACGCAUCACCUGCAUCAGUUCACCAGGUCGGAAUAACGAUGUCAGAACUUUGGAGGUCGUCAUUUUGCCUGUCUGGAGUUCUGUUUAUAACCUUUCUUUCCCUGGCGACCGCGAGCUCCUCAUCAGUCAGUCACCAGAUGUCUCCUGACCUCAUCCAUCCUCCACAAACCAGCAGCAAAGCACAGAGACACAGACAUCAGAUCAACUCGACACGAAUACAGAUGGAUUUAAAAGGGCCCAACGUUUGUGGCACCAGGUGCUGUUAUUCAUGGCUGGUCAAUCCCAAGACCAAACAAUGCACAAAACCAAGAUGUCAUCCACGAUGCCAUAACAAAGCAGUUUGUCGCCGGCUGAACAUCUGUCAGUGUCGUCCGGGCUUCCACGGCCAUCGCUGUGAGCGCGCAAACGUCACGCCAACCAUGAGCACCUGGUUCGAAGCACAUCCUGGUCCCACAGUACCCUCAACCUCUACCAUGGCAGCAUUUACUAUGGUAACGCCCACAUCCACCACCAUCCACGACACCAGCUCCACAUCUGCCUCCAGUGAUGCCAGUUCAGAGACAAGAAAGACAUAUUCAUUACACUGGCAGCCACCCAGUUUAAAAGAGGACCAGUUGGUCCUGUUAAAAAAAGCUCUGUCCAGUGGAACUGGUGGAGAGAAGAUCACAAGUGUUAUACUGAAAUACAUUGAAUCCGAGCGAAAAAGACUGGAGACUUCAUCCUCUACCGGAGCAACAAAAAUCUCCAGCACCAAAACCUUCCACACUCAACGUGGCCAGUUCACCCUCAUCUACACCGCAGGUCAGUUCAAGCCAGCAGGGAUGAUUUUGAAAUAUCAAAUGUAUUAGGCAAAAUAUUCACCUCAUAUCAUUCCCUGCAGAAAUGAGAUCCCUCUAAUAGUUAAAUGGUUUCUCCUAAACAUCAAAGAGAUUAAAUAAAGAGCCAAUGGAGACGUUGGCUUUGUCUCUUAAAAUGCACAAAAGAGAUUAAAUAUGUCUUAAACAUACCGCUUAUACAUAAGUCUUAAAAAAUUGUAGGUCUCUGCUAUCAAAAGUCAGAGAUUUCAUUAUGAUAUCAAGCUCAAAGAUUAAAUUGUUAACCAAUGAGCAAUGCAAUUUUCCUCAGGGUGAUCAAACAAACAUCGUUUAGCUUUUUGAAACUUUCUACCAUUAGUAACAUUAGUAUUAGUAUACUAAAACAAUUUUUCAUGGUCUUGGAAAAACCUGGAAAUAUGAGGUAGCCUUAGUUAAAAAGUAUGAUUUUUAGACCUGAAAAAGUACCCACAUUUUUAAGGUUUAUACAGGUGUCUGUGUCAACAUGUUAACCUUUUCUUUGGAAGAAGGUUUCAAAUGGUUUCAAAUCAGUGGGCUAGAGAAGAGAAUAUCUUGUUUUAAUAAUUCGGCCUGUUUCCUGGUUUAAAACUUUUGUGCCGCGAUAAGGUUUAUCUGUCUGUAGAUUCAGGCUGGUUUGCAUUGAGACAGGUCUGGAUACAGCAUUGUAGCAUAUUCCUGUCAUUGUUUAGCUUGGCUGAGAGGUGAUGGUGCAGUAAUUACUCAGGAGAUGGAUGUGGUGUUUUGCUAAUGGGAACCCCUGUGUCUCCAUGACCUCAUAACACACUGGAACGGCGCUCUGUGGCAGCGCAUGGGAAGUGUGGGGAGACAGACCUCUUUCUCACUCACUCACACAGAGAGAGAGAGAGAGAGAGACAGACAGAGAGAGAGAGAGAGAGAGAGAGAGAGAGAGCUGCUAAUAUUACUUAUCUCUAGAUUUAUGUGUUCAAGCUCUUGAAUAUGAAGCUGUAGCUGAUAAGUGAAGCUCUAGGGAGUAAAAACUUUGAGUGGCAUGUUACAGCAAUUCCUCAGUCUGGUCCAGCAUAUUUUUGUUUCAGGUUAUUCAUGGAAUUCACUUAAUAUCUAUCAUAUUUUAUCAUGAAGCGGGGUUAUUGUAACCUAACACUAGAAAAGAAAAAAAUAAUUAUUAUAUUACUAACUAAAUAAAUAGUAAAAAAUAAAAAUAUAUAACCAUUACUGAAAAUAAAAAUAAGCAUUAACUAUAAUGAAAUAAAGUAAUAUGUUAAAAAUAUAUUAAAACUUUCAAAUUAAAUUAUAUUCAGAAAAUAUAAAAAAUGCUAAAUGUAGUUCAAAAAGUACAUACAGUAUCAAUGGAAAUAAAAAAAAAAAUAAAAAAAAAUCAUAAAAAUGUUAAUUAUUUAAAUUAAAAAGUUUUAGAUUUUAGCUUUAUAGUAUUAAAACUUAAUAGAAACUAUAUAGAGCUAUUUAUAUCAAAAAGAAUAAAAAUGGCCAAAACACAAUUAAACUACUAGAACAUAUCAAAUUACAUUAAAUCUAAAGUAUUCACAAAAUUAUAAUAGUAUAAUAAUGAUACAAAUUAAAACCAUUAAACUAAACCAAUAAAACAUAUUAAUUAUUUGAAAUAAAAUAAACUUUAACUGAAAUAAAGUACUGCCAAGGCAACUUUUUUUUUAAGUUACAGUACUAAAAUAACUAAAAUUUCUUUAAAUGUCUAUGAAUGGUUUUAAGUUUAAUAAUACUAAAACAUAUUUGUAUAUUAAGAAAAAGCUUUCAAAUUAAAAAUGAGAAAAUAUAAAAAUAGUAUCUAAAAUAUUCUCAAAAACUAUAAUAGUAUAUAAAUCAUACUACAAUAACACUGUUAUAAAGAAGUUUAAUCUGAGGAACAUGUGAGCUCAGGUUAUUUAGAGCUCUCUGAGCUUUGUCUAUACAGUUUUCCCCUAGCUGAGUGUGGCUUAAUGUAAUGAAGUGUGCUCUGCAGCCCACAGAUAUUCCCAAAAGUCCUUUCCUAACACCAAUCAGGCCUUUAAAUCCAGAGCCAGCAUGUAAACAACCCCAAAGAACCUCAGGGCUUCCCUCUUCUCUCUCCUUUAACUUCAAACGCUAUAAUACACCUUCUCCAGCCGCAUAACGUCAACGCUUAUUGCCCGGCGAAGUGGAAAACGCUCGAAUGAAGGAUGUCGUCUCACGUGGAAAAGAAAAGAGCCGCUGCCAAAAGCCAGAUCUCUGGAAAUCCAACACUUCAUGCAGGCUUAAUCCAAGUUUCCACGCUGAGAGAGUUUGUAAUGUAGAGAGAGAACGACAGAAGCUCAGCAUUCCAGCGCAUGAGGAAACCACUUCUUCAUUAAUGGCCUAUUUUUGUGAUGACGAGUGAAAUGGCACACUUUAUAAAUAUUUACACUUGUACAGCGAGAGCUGAAUUCCCCUGGUGUCACACGUCAGGACGAAGAACGCAGGACGCAGUCAUAUAGAUAUGUUACACAAUAGUCUGACCCUUAAGCUCUUCAUCAGGAUUUUACUGUCCAGUUUGUUUUGCCAAAUAUGAAUGCCUGUGUGAGAUGUUGUUGAUAGUGGAUUUUGGUGAGCUUAUGAUUAAUGCUGUUUUUCCCCAGUGUCUGUGCACUGAUAUGACCUGUUCUUCUGCGAUUUUAGAGAUUUUAGAUUCGAUUUUAGAUUCAAAGAGGCUGUAAUUUGACACUGAGCGAAUGAUAAUCUCAGACGAUAUUGCUUAUGAUGAAGCACAGAAAUCCAAAAAGACCUUCUUAAAACCAGUCAAUGGCGUGAGAAUCGGACGGGUUUCACAAACCAAAACAGAGACCGACAUUCCGGGCCGGAACGCACAUUUUCAAAGAAGAAUAACUGACUGUAGCAUUGUUUUUCAUAUAAACAAAUAUUUUAACUUAGCAUGUUUCUUAAAUAUCUGCAAACAUAUUAUGGUAUUUGUAUGCUUUAGUAGAUUCAAAAACUUACAUACAGCACCUUUAAAAAUAGUAAAUUAUAUUUAUCUGAAAGUGUAACAAUGCAAGCAGGUUUUACAUUUACAUUUACAUUUAGUCAUUUAGCAGACGCUUUUAUGCAAAGCGACUUACAAAUGAGGACAAUGGAAGCAAUCAAAAACAACAAAAGAGCAAUGAUAUAUAAGUGCUAUAACAAGUCUCAGUUAGCCUAAACGCAGUAUACGUAGCAAGGGCUUUUAAAUAAUAUAAUAAAUAAAAAGAAAAACAGAUAGAAUAGAAAAAGAAUAGAGCAAGCUAGUGUUAGAGGUCUUUUUUUAUAAUUGUAUAAUAAAUGAAAAGAAAAUAGAUAGAAUACAAAAAGAUUAGAAAGGUAGUUAGAUUAUUAUUUUUUUUUUACAUAGAAUUAGAAUAGUGAGUGCAAAAGUUAGAGGGUCAAAUAAAGAUGGAAGAGAUGUGUUUUAAGCCGAUUCUUGAAGAUGGCUAAGGACUCAGCUGCUGGGAUUGAGUUGGGCAGGUCAUUCCACCAGGAGGGAACAUUUAAUUUAAAAGUCCGUAAAAGUGACUUUGUGCUUCUUUGGGAUGGCACAAUCAAGCGAUGUUCACUUGCAGAACGCAAGCUUCUAGAGGGCACAUAAGUCUGAAGUAAUGAAUUUAGGUAAAGGGGUGCAGAGCCAGUGGUGGUUUUGUAUGCAAACAUCAAUGCCUUGAAUUUUAUGCGAGCAGCUAUUGGUAGCCAGUGCAAAUUGAUAAAUAGAGGUGUGACGUGUAUUCUUUUCGGCUCAUUAAAAAUUAAUCUUGCUGCCGCGUUCUGGAUUAAUUGUAAAGGCUUGAUAGAACUGGCUGGAAGACCUGCCAAGAGAGCGUUGCAAUAGUCUAGCCUGGACAGAACAAGAGCUUGAACAAGGAGUUGUGCAGCAUGUUCGGAACGAAAGGGCCUGAUCUUCUUAAUGUUGAAUAAAGCAAAUCUGCAGGAUCGGACAGCUGAUCAUCUGCAGAAAGUCAGCUGAUCAUCAAUCAUAACUCCAAGGUUUCUGGCUGUUUUUGAAGGAGUUAUGGUUGAUGUGAAAUUGUGAUGAAACGAUGGGUUUGCUGGAACCACAAGCAGUUCUGUCUUGGCAAGGUUGAGUUGAAGAUGAUGGUCCUUCAUCUAGCAAGAAAUGUCUGUUAGACAAGCUGAGAUGCGAGCAGCUACCGAUGAAUCAUCAGGAUGGAAUGAGUGGUAGAGCUGAGUGUUAUCAGCAUAGCAAUGGUAUGAAAAGCCAUGUUUCUGAAUGACAGAACCUAAUGAUGCCAUGUAGACAGAGAAGAGAAGUGGUCCAAGAACUGAGCCCUGAGGCACCCCAGUAGUUAGAUGUUGCACCUUGGACACCUCACCUCUCCAAGAUACUUUGAAGGACUUAUCUGUUAGGUAAGACUCAAACCACUGGAGUGCGGUUCCUGAGGUUUUCUGUAAGGGGUAGGUUUAGGGUUAGUAUAAAAGUAAUAGAAGUCUAUGGAAAGUCCCCACGAUUCACAGAAACAAACGUGUGUGUGUGUGUGUGUGUGUGUGUGUGUGUGAGUGUGUGUGUGUGUUCCAGUACCACAUGAUGACAUCAUUUACAACAAUAAGCUUACAAAUUUAACUUCAUUCCCAAACAACCCGGGAAACAAGACCAGUUGCCAUAGUAAAGCAUGUUUUACUGCCUCCUUAAUAUGUAAAACAUUGACAUCAUGACAGAGCUGAGCAGCUCCUCCC